rnacentral:rRNA from 1 species
UACGGAGGGGACUAGCGUUGUUCGGAAUUACUGGGCGUAAAGCGCACGUAGGCGGAUUUGUAAGUCAGGGGUGAAAUCCCGGGGCUCAACCUCGGAACUGCCUUUGAUACUGCAAAUCUCGAGUCCGGAAGAGGUGAGUGGAAUUCCUGGUGUAGAGGUGAAAUUCGUAGAUAUUAGGAAGAACACCAGUGGCGAAGGCGGCUCACUGGUCCGGUACUGACGCUGAGGUGCGAAAGCGUGGGGAGCAAACAGG